UGGGGAAUUUUGGACAAUGGGCGCAAGCCUGAUCCAGCCAUGCCGCGUGCGGGAAGAAGGCCUUCGGGUUGUAAACCGCUUUUGUCAGGGAAGAAACGGCUCUUACUAAUAUUAGGAGCUAAUGACGGUACCUGAAGAAUAAGCACCGGCUAACUACGUGCCAGCAGCCGCGGUAAUACGUAGGGUGCAAGCGUUAAUCGGAAUUACUGGGCGUAAAGCGUGCGCAGGCGGCUUUGCAAGACAGAUGUGAAAUCCCCGGGCUCAACCUGGGAACUGCAUUUGUGACUGCAUGGCUAGAGUACGGUAGAGGGGGAUGGAAUUCCGCGUGUAGCAGUGAAAUGCGUAGAUAUGCGGAGGAACACCGAUGGCGAAGGCAAUCCCCUGGACCUGUACUGACGCUCAUGCACGAAAGCGUGGGGAGCAAACAG
rnacentral:rRNA from 1 species